AUGUGAGCCACCUCAGGGACCUUGUUAAAAAGCAGAGUCUGAUUUAGCAGGUCUGAGAUGGACUCUCAGACUCUGCAUUCCUAGUAAACUCCUGGGAGAACCUGUU
rnacentral:pre_miRNA from 1 species